CCUGGCGGCAAUAGCGCAGUGGAACCACCUGACCCCAUGCCGAACUCAGAAGUGAAACGCUGUAGCGCCGAUGGUAGUGUGGC
rnacentral:rRNA from 2 species